GCAUUGUCGCACUGAGGAUAAUUUGGGCAACUUUGCGGAUUUACACCAGCUGGAUACUGUGCACCAGCAGAUGCAGGAUUCCCAGCAGAGUGCUGUAUAUAAACAAAAAUUAUAGGUGCAAAAUAUCAGGACGUACAGCAUAUACUAUAUAGUAUAUUUAAUAAUAAUACAGUGGAGCGUUCCAAGGGGAUGCAGGUUGAGCCCAUGGUGCUGCCGGUGCUCCUGCAGGAGCCCACGCACCUCCUUGAGGAGACCAGGAUGGAGUAGAAGCACGUCCAGAGUGUAGAGCUGCGUUAUCACAGUUUGGAUAAUUUGGACAACUUUGUGGAUUCACUCCAGCUGGAUAUCUGUCACCAUUUGGUUUAGCCAGCAGUGUGGUGGCUAGUGCCAAUAUACAGAGCACUACUUGGAUCUGUAUUAAGUAAUUCAAAAUUAAUGUACACAUAUUAAUAAAAUAACAGUUAUAUACUAAA